AACGAACGCUGGCGGCAUGCCUAACACAUGCAAGUCGAACGAAGCCUUCGGGCUUAGUGGCGCACGGGUGCGUAACGCGUGGGAAUCUGCCCUUGGGUUCGGAAUAACAGUUAGAAAUGACUGCUAAUACCGAAUGAUGUCUUCGGACCAAAGAUUUAUCGCCCAAGGAUGAGCCCGCGUCGGAUUAGCUAGUUGGUGAGGUAAAGGCUCACCAAGGCGACGAUCCGUAGCUGGUCUGAGAGGAUGAUCAGCCACACUGGGACUGAGACACGGCCCAGACUCCUACGGGAGGCAGCAGUGGGGAAUAUUGGACAAUGGGCGAAAGCCUGAUCCAGCAAUGCCGCGUGAGUGAUGAAGGCCUUAGGGUUGUAAAGCUCUUUUGCCAGGGACGAUGAUGACGGUACCUGGAGAAUAAGCCCCGGCUAACUUCGUGCCAGCAGCCGCGGUAAU
rnacentral:rRNA from 1 species